rnacentral:rRNA from 1 species
CCUACGGGUGGCAGCAGUGAGGAAUAUUGGUCAAUGGACGAAAGUCUGAACCAGCCAAGCCGCGUGAAGGAUGACGGCUCUAUGGGUUGUAAACUUCUUUUAUAAGGGAAUAAAACGAGGUACGUGUGUCUGUAUGCAAGUAUCUUAUGAAUAAGGAUCGGCUAACUCCGUGCCAGCAGCCGCGGUAAUACGGAGGAUCCGAGCGUUAUCCGGAUUUAUUGGGUUUAAAGGGAGCGUAGUUGGGUUGUUAAGUUAGUUGUGAAAGGUCGAGGCUCAACCGUGAAAUUGCAAUUGAUACUGGCAGUCUAGAGUGUAGGUGAGGUAGGCGGAAUUCGUGGUGUAGCGGUGAAAUGCUUAGAUAUCACGAAGAACCCCGAUUGCGAAGGCAGCUUACUAAGCUAUGACUGACGUUGAGGCUCGAAAGUGUGGGGAGCAAACAGGAUUAGAUACCCCUGUAGUC